CGGUCUUUGUGGUUGGGCAGUACCGCCCAGCUGGUAACAUUACCAAUGCAGGAUACUAUCAGAAAAAUGUCCUCCCAAAAGGAACAGAACUUUCCUCCACAAAUGAGGAAGACUCUGAAGCAGGUUGCAAAGCAGCAAACCAGGUGACAG